CACGUAGGGUGCAAGCGUUGUCCGGAAUUAUUGGGCGUAAAGGGCUAGUAGGCGGCUUGGCAAGUCGAGCGUGAAAACUCCAGGCUCAACCUGGAGCUGCCGUUUGAUACUGCCAUGGCUAGAGUCCGGUAGGGGACCACGGAAUUCCUGGUGUAGCGGUGAAAUGCGCAGAUAUCAGGAGGAACACCGGUGGCGAAGGCGCUCAUCUGGCCCAAUACUGACGCUGAGGCGCGAAAGCUAGGGGAGCAAACGGG
rnacentral:rRNA from 1 species